rnacentral:tRNA from 1 species
CGGGUAGUAGCUUAGUCCGGUUAAAGUGCGCGUCUGGGGGGCGCGAGAUCGGAGGUUCGAAUCCUCUCUACCCGACGA